UACGUAGGGGGCUAGCGUUGUCCGGAUUUAUUGGGCGUAAAGAGCGCGCAGGCGGUCCUUUAAGUCUGAUGUGAAAGCCCACGGCUCAACCGUGGAGGGUCAUUGGAAACUGGGGGACUUGAGUGCAGAAGAGGAAAGCGGAAUUCCACGUGUAGCGGUGAAAUGCGUAGAGAUGUGGAGGAACACCAGUGGCGAAGGCGGGUCUCUGGGCCGUAACUGACGCUGAGGAGCGAAAGCAUGGGGAGCGAACAGG
rnacentral:rRNA from 1 species